rnacentral:rRNA from 1 species
GGCGCACGGGUGAGCAAUACGUAGGUAAUCUGCCCUCGGGACUGGGAAAACCAAGGGAAACUUUGGCUAAUACCGGAUAAGACCACACGGCUUCGGCCGGGUGGGAAAAGCGGGGGACCCUUCGGGGCCUCGUACCUGGGGAUGAGCCUUCGCACCAUCAGCUAGUUGGUAGGGUAACGGCCUACCAAGGCUAAGACGGUUAGCUGGUCUGAGAGGAUGACCAGCCACACUGGAACUGAGACACGGUCCAGACUCCUACGGGAGGCAGCAGUGGGGGAUAUUGCGCAAUGGGCGAAAGCCUGACGCAGCGACGCCGCGUGGAGGAUGAAGGCCUUCGGGUUGUAAACUCCUGUCAAGAGGGACGAAUGGGUGGACGGAUAACACCUAGCUAUCCUGACGGUACCUCUAAAGGAAGCACCGGCUAACUCUGUGCCAGCAGCCGCGGUAAGACAGAGGGUGCAAGCGUUGUUCGGAUUUACUGGGCGUAAAGGGCGCGUAGGCGGUGUGGUAAGUCGGGUGUGAAAUCCCUCGUUUCAAGCGAGGAACUGCACUCGAAACUACCGCACUUGAGUCCCGGAGAGGGAAGUG